GACGAACGCUGGCGGCGUGCUUAACACAUGCAAGUCGAACGGAAAGGCCCUGCUUUUGUGGGGUGCUCGAGUGGCGAACGGGUGCGUAACACGUGAGUAACCUGCCCUUGACUUUGGGAUAACUUCAGGAAACUGGGGCUAAUACCGGAUAGCAGCUCCUGCUGCAUGGUGGGGGUUGGAACGUUUCGGCGGUUGGGGAUGGACUCGCGGCUUAUCAGCUUGUUGGUGGGGUAGUGGCUUACCAAGGCUUUGACGGGUAGCCGGCCUGAGAGGGUGACCGGCCACAUUGGGACUGAGAUACGGCCCAGACUCCUACGGGAGGCAGCAGUGGGGAAUAUUGCACAAUGGGCGGAAGCCGGAUGCAGCAACGCCGCGUGCGGGAUGACGGCCUUCGGGUUGUAAACCGCUUUCGCCUGUGACGAAGCGUGAGUGACGGUAAUGGGUAAAGAAGCACCGGCUAACUACGUG
rnacentral:rRNA from 1 species